rnacentral:rRNA from 1 species
CGGCAAUGGGGGAAACCCUGACCGAGCGACGCCGCGUGUGGGAUGAAGGCCCUUGGGUUGUAAACCACUGUCAGAGGGGAUGAAAUGCCGGAAAGUUAUCUCUCCGGUUUGACAUAGCCUCAGAGGAAGCACGGGCUAAGUUCGUGCCAGCAGCCGCGGUAAGACGAACUGUGCAAACGUUAUUCGGAAUCACUGGGCUUGAAGAGUGCGUAGGCGGUUUCGUAAGUAGGGUGUGAAAGCCCCCGGCUCAACCGGGGAAUUGCGUCCUAAACUGCGAGGCUGGAGUGAGGUAGGGGUGUGUGGAACUUCCAGUGGAGCGGUGAAAUGUGUUGGUAUUGGAAGGAACGCCGGUGGCGAAAGCGACACACUGGACCUUGUCUGGCGCUGAGGCACGAAAGCCAGGGGAGCAAACGGGAUUAGAUACCCGCGUAGUCCCUGA